rnacentral:lncRNA from 1 species
AAUCCAUGGAGGAAAGGGUUAAAUAGAUAUAGUAAGAUAUAUAUCUUUAAUGAAAAGUGAAAAUUUCAGGAAAGGUUUGUAAUUCAUGUGUAUUACUAUUUGUGUUAAUAUAGAAAUUUAUGUGUUUUAUCAUAUUUACGAGUGUAGCUUACAAACUAGAGGCUCUAAAGAGCCUGUGUCGCUCACCUUGGUCUAUGUGCAUAUUAAACAAAGGACACAAAUGGAUUCAUGACAAAAUUGUAUUUUGGUGAUGGUGAUGUGUUUGAAGUUCUUACUUUACUGAACGAUUUUGCUUCUUACAAUUAUAUCUAUCAUGAACUUUGCCCAUUAGUAACAGAGAACUAUAUUUGGUAAAAAUUUACAUAAAUUUACCCAAUUAA